CCACUGUGUGAUCAACAUAAUUACAGUCAGGUUAGAGUUAACUGUCUCUCUCUCUCUCUCUCUCUCUCUCUCUCUCUCUCUCUCUCUCUCUUUUGCUCUCUGUCUAUCUCUCUCUGUCGCUGUCUCUCUGUGUCUCUGUGUCUCUCUGUCUCUCUGUCUCUCUCUUUUGCUCUCUCUCUCUCUCUCUCUCUGUCUCUGUCGGUCUCUGAGUCUCUGUGUCUCUCUUUCUCUCUGUCUCUGUCGUUGUCUCUCUGUGUCUCUCUGUGUCUCUCUCUCUGUCUGUCUCUGUCGGUCUCUGUGUCUCUGUGUCUCUCUUUCUCUCUGUCUCUGUCGCUGUCUCUCUCUCACACUAUCUCUCUCUCCUUUCUAUCCCUUUCUUUCUUUCUCUCUCGCUCUUCCCUCAUAUAAGCUCUAAGAACACUGCAGUUGGGGCACAGAUCACCCAUUCUAUCAUUUUCACUUCAGUUCACUUCAGUGAGGAAGGAGAGGUGGAGAGAGGGAGGUGGAGAGAUGCAGGUGGAGAGAGGGAGGUGGAGAGAGGGAGGUGGAGAGAGGCAGGUGGAGAGAUGCAGG
ensembl:lncRNA